UUGCAAGGAGCUGUGGGAGUCCCCUGUACACAUGGAAACAGACUCCUCUGGGUGAUCACUCUGACAAGAGGGGUUUGAAAUCCACUAAAGGUGGCUGGAAAUACCAAACUUGGCUGAUUCCACUGAGCAAAAGCACAUAAAAACUUGUCACAACGUCACACGAAGAGUGAGAUCGUGGAGAACCCAAAUGCGGAACACUGAAAUGAGACUGGAGUCGGGAUGCUUCCUCGGUACCAAACGC